rnacentral:rRNA from 1 species
UACGUAGGGUGCAAGCGUUAAUCGGAAUCACUGGGCGUAAAGCGUGCGCAGGCGGUGAUGUAAGACAGAUGUGAAAUCCCCGGGCUCAACCUGGGAACUGCAUUUGUGACUGCAUCGCUGGAGUGCGGCAGAGGGGGAUGGAAUUCCGCGUGUAGCAGUGAAAUGCGUAGAUAUGCGGAGGAACACCGAUGGCGAAGGCAAUCCCCUGGGCCUGCACUGACGCUCAUGCACGAAAGCGUGGGGAGCAAACAGG